CCCCCCCCCCCCCCCCCCCCCCCCCCCCCCCCCCCCCCCCCCCCCCCCCCCCCCCCCCCCCCCCCCCCCCCCCCCCCCCCCCCCCCCCCCCCCCCCCCCCCCCCCCCCCCCCGCCGCCGCGGCGGGGGCAGGUAGGGCUGUCCCGGGCGCGGGAUCCCGGGCCGCCCCCUCCGAGCCGCGGCGCGGGGCGAUGCGGGCGGCGGGACUCGCUCGCGGGUCACGCGUGGGAGCACGCAGCGCCCAGGGCGGGUUUGCCCAUCCGCGGCCCGUCGCAACGGAGAUAAAACUGUGUCCUUACGUAAUGCCGGGCACUGCGACACAGGGGCCUGCUGGGAGGCGCGGAUGGCCGGGGCAUCGCGGGCGGCGGGCAGCGGGCUCCCUGCGCCGCAUCCCGGGAUGCCGCCGGCCGCGGCGGAGGCCGAGCUCACUGAACCGGGCGCUGGCCCCGUGACGGGAGCGGAAAGGUCACUGGGCCACGGCGGGCGUGCGGCUCCUGACGAGCGCUUCAGCAAGCGGCAUCGCUCUGCUCCUUUCCGGGAAGCAAAGGUCGAAGGUGGCUGUACCUGGCUGGGUUUAGCACCGUCUUGGCUCUGACAUCCCUUUCACCUCGCUCCUCCGCACCCCCGGGAUCCUUCUUGCGGGUUGCCAAAUUCAUUCUGAUCUGCACCAAAAACCCCAAGCCUCAAGCCAAGCAGGCAAACUGUUUUCUUCUUCCAUUUUAUUCUGCUUAUUCUCAGAAUGUAGCUUUUUACUUGUGGGGAAUAAUGUCAUUUUAAAAAUCCCCAUGUCACUGCUUUCCCCUCGCAUACCGAGCACUGUGGGGCCACAGCAGCAGCUGCCUCGAUUCUGCCUUGUCACAGUCCUUGCUGCGAACAACUCUUGCUGGAGGGGGAAAAAGUCUUUGAGUCAUUCAGUCUAGGUAUUUACAAAAAAAAAUAAAAGGUAACAGAAUUUUCAGAAAAUGGAGUGGAGCUGACUCAUCAUCAGUGACCAAUGCAGGGUUGUGUCUCUGGGGAGUAUUUAUAGCGAUUCCAGUAGAAACAGAUCCCAGCUUGUUUCUCAGAUGAGUUAGUGAGAAUAGAGAUGUGUUGCAGUUUUUUUUGUUGGGUGCAGUGGGUGGUUGAAUAAUCACCUUUCUCAUGGCAUUUCAGCUAUGAAUUUUUGUCAGAAAUGGGCUUUUGCACUAUAGCAGCGACAUUCCAGAAUAAUGCCUCCCCCCAGCACUCUCCAUCAAAGGUUUCACUGAUCUGCCUUUUCUUCCUCCCCACAUUUUGGGGUGUGUGUAUAGGGGUGUGAAGGUGUGGGGGACACCACUGUUGGCUGCUGUAGCAGCAGGAGGAUGUCCCCACCCCUGGCACUGUUGGGAUGGAGGCAGGAUGCACAGCCCGGCCCUUGUGGGCUUGGCAUCUGCUGCAGGUAGGGAAAAGCAAAUCUGCCAGUGUAGCAGAUGCUCCUUUUCUGUGUGAGUUGUCACAUUGUGCUGGAAGACAAAAUUCCAUUUUAAUUACUCAUCCCCACUGAUCUGGUGCUGGGUGUUCCUGCAGUGGGGCUAGGAGCAAGGGACAUGUCCCUUCCUGAGUGCACUGCUGGGACAUGUGCUGACCUGGGCUCUGCCAUGCUGGUGGCAUGGGGUGGGACAGCAGCACUGCUCUUCUCCUCCUCUGCAGGUAUUUAACAGAAACAGUUUAAUUUAACAUGUAGGGACUGUGGUUCUGUGUUCUUCCCUUGCAAUUUAGUAACUACAGUAGCUACAACAAGCUGCGAUAUCCCCCAAGUUCAUUUAAUUGGUACUUACAUUUGAUAGUUUAAUAGGGGGUUGCCAUAAGACACUGCAGUUCUUAAUGGAUACCCAUACAAUUAAGAGCAGGCUGUCUCUUUCUUUAAUUCCAUAAUAAGUGUAGCCUAAAUAAUAAUAUUUAUAUUUGCUUUUAAGGCAUUUAUUUCCUUUAUGUUUUUCUGUUUAUUGGGCUACAGAGGUACUGCAUAAACCCUUCUUUAAAUCUGCUCCAUCAUGCAUGCAGUUCCAGAGCAAAGCUCCAGCAGGAAGGCUGGG
ensembl:lncRNA